UACGUAGGGUCCGAGCGUUGUCCGGAAUUAUUGGGCGUAAAGGGCUCGUAGGCGGUUUGUCGCGUCGGGAGUGAAAUCUUACAGCUUAACUGUGAACUUGCUUUCGAUACGGGCAGACUUGAGGCAUUCAGGGGAGAACGGAAUUCCUGGUGUAGCGGUGAAAUGCGCAGAUAUCAGGAGGAACACCGGUGGCGAAGGCGGUUCUCUGGGAAUGUUCUGACGCUGAGGAGCG
rnacentral:rRNA from 1 species